rnacentral:rRNA from 2 species
CUGGCGGCGUGCCUNAUACAUGCAAGUCGAGCGAACGGACGAGAAGCUUGCUUCUCUGAUGUUAGCGGCGGACGGGUGAGUAACACGUGGAUAACCUACCUAUAAGACUGGGAUAACUUCGGGAAACCGGAGCUAAUACCGGAUAAUAUUUUGAACCGCAUGGUUCAAAAGUGAAAGACGGUCUUGCUGUCACUUAUAGAUGGAUCCGCGCUGCAUUAGCUAGUUGGUAAGGUAANNGCUUACCAAGGCAACGAUGCAUAGCCGACCUGAGAGGGUGAUCGGCCACACUGGAACUGAGACACGGUCCAGACUCCUACGGGAGGCAGCAGUAGGGAAUCUUCCGCAAUGGGCGAAAGCCUGACGGAGCAACGCCGCGUGAGUGAUGAAGGUCUUCGGAUCGUAAAACUCUGUUAUUAGGGAAGAACAUAUGUGUAAGUAACUGUGCACAUCU